AGAGUGGUUACCACCAUCCUCGGCUUCUCUGACGCGCCAUCUCCACCGUCCGCCGUCAAUCCCCACCGCGCCACAGCCGCCGCCCGGAUGGCCGCGGCUGGCGCCUUCUCCCCCCUCUCCGGCACCCUCCUCCGCCGCCGCAUACCCCUCCACCAUCACCGCCGCUUCCUCUCCAUCGCGGCCGCUGCCUCGGAAGCCCCCGCGCCUGCCCCCACCCCGUCCCAGCCGCCGCCGCCGCCGCGUCCACGCGGAAAGGGGUACUUCCCCAAGAAGAACGAGAUCCUCGAGCUGACCUGCGAGGGGCUCGCCUUCAAGGGGAAGGGCGUCUGCAAGGUCGACGGCUCCUCCUUCGUCCUGCUCUGCGACGGCGCUCUCCCCGGCGAGCGCCUCGUGGCUCGCGUCCGUCGCCUCCGCCGCGGCGCCUUCGCCGAGGCCGCCAAGCUCAAGACCCUCUCGCCCCACCACGACGCCGUCGAGGCCCCCUGCCCCCUCGCCGCCGACUGCGGCGGCUGCAAGAGCCAGUCCCUCGCCUACUCUGCGCAAAUCCACCACAAGUACGUCCAGGUCCGCGACCUGCUGGUAAAUUUCGGCAAGUUUGACCCCAGGAAGCUGGAGAGCUCGGAUUCAGACGCCGUCCUUAAGCCCAUCGUGCCGUGCGACGAGAUAUUUCGGUACAGGAACAAGAUGGAGUUCUCGUUUGGGACGAAGAGGUGGAUGAAAAGGGAGUGGAAGGAGGAGAAAGAGGAGGUGUCGAAGGGGGAAGAGUUGGAGACUGAUGGUUAUUCACUUGGCCUCCAUGCACCAGGGUUCUUUGACAAGGUGCUUCACGUCGAGACGUGCUUGCUGCACAGUGAGCCGGCAGAUAAGGUUCUUGCAGUUGUUCAAGGAAGUUGGACGGAUCCGGCUCUUGGCCUCACGCCUUACGAUGUCUACAAGCACACUGGGUUUCUCAAGCAUCUAAUGAUACGAACUGGAAGAAAUGUCAGCACUGGAGCUCCAGAAGUGAUGGUCAAUUUUGUGACAUCAUGUUAUAAACCUGAGCUACUGGUGCCUCUUGUGGAUAGAAUCACAAAAAUAUCUGAAGUGGUAAGUGUCGUAAAUAAUGUGAAUACAUCUGUUGGCAAUACAUCCGUGGGUGAGCAAGAAUAUACCUUGUACGGGAAACCGACCAUUACAGAAAUGUUGAGAGGACUUACAUUCCAGAUAUCUGCCAACUCCUUUUUCCAGACUAAUACAAAACAGGCUGAUGUUCUUUAUAAGCUUAUUGGAGAUUCUGCUGGGCUUAAAGGAGAUGGCUCUGAGAUUGUUCUUGACUUGUUUUGUGGAACUGGAACCAUUGGACUGACUCUUGCUAGAAGUGCAAAGCAUGUUUAUGGAUAUGAAGUUGUCCCUGAAGCCAUUGCGGAUGCCCAAAAGAAUGCGCAGUUGAAUGGUAUCAGUAAUGCUACAUUUGUUCAGGGAGACCUUAACAAAAUCAAUGAAACAUUUGGGAAGGAAUUUCCAAAGCCUGACAUAAUCAUAUCAGAUCCUAAUCGUCCUGGGAUGCACAUGAAGUUAAUCAAGUGGCUGCUGGAAGUUAAAGCCCCUCGAAUAGUGUACGUCUCGUGUAAUCCAGCUACUUGUGCACGGGAUCUGGACUAUCUAUGUCAUGGCGUGGAGGAGAAAGGCCUGAGAGGGUGCUACGAGCUGAAGCGUGUAAUACCUGUCGAUAUGUUUCCCCACACUCCUCAUAUUGAGUGUGUUUGCUUAUUGGAGCUGUGCUGAUUUUCAGUUCUGUUCAGCUAGAGCCACCAGAAGGUUUUCAUUUGCUUCCUUAUCCUGCAUAAUCACUUAUUCUUCUGCUCUUAUAAGGUGUAACCAUCCUUCUACUUGUGGUUCAGAGAUUCAUAUUCUGAAAUGGGGUACACCUAUUUUUGAGAUAGAGUAUAAUAUCCACGCGGCAUAUCAUGCACUGUAGUUUACUGAAGUUAACAAGACGCCCUGAUUGCUGAAUGUAUUGUUCAGUUAGCAUAUCUCAAGCAGAAGAGGCACACAACGCGAAUGUGACGUACUGUGUGGGUUGAAGCCCCGGAACUGGAAGCGCCCUAUAGAAGGACUCUGGGAAAAUCUUCGACAGUUGUUGAGGUUUUGCUCAUUGUUUGCACGCAGGCGAUACAUUCUGUAAGCAGUAAGAAAAGAAUGGAUGAAUUUGUCUGAUCUCUUCACGAUGGUGUGUCAGAAUUUAAAUUUGCUUCCGGGACAUCCUUGACUCCUCCCAUAGCUGAUGCUGAAUCGUGGCUCGUUCUUUUGUUCGACUGAAUUUUGGUUCGUGGUUGGCAUGUACUGUGUACAAUUUUUCCUUUUUUUGAUUGAUGAUGAUGUCGUUGAGUACUUUCAAGGAACAUGUAAGACCCGUUAAGUUAGAAACGCAAAUGGUGGAGAACUGGAGAUGGAAUCGAAAAUGCCUUUUCGAAUCCUGGGCUGUACCUAUAUUUCGGGAAAUAAAAAUUGAAAUGUCGACA